rnacentral:rRNA from 1 species
UACGUAGGGGGCUAGCGUUGUCCGGAAUCAUUGGGCGUAAAGCGCGUGUAGGCGGUCCGGUAAGUCCGCUGUGAAAGUCAAAGGCUCAACCUUUGAACGCCGAUGGAUACUGCCGGGCUAGAGUCCGGAAGAGGCGAGUGGAAUUCCUGGUGUAGCGGUGGAAUGCGCAGAUAUCAGGAGGAACACCAAUAGCGAAGGCAGCUCGCUGGGACGGUACUGACGCUGAGGCGCGAAAGCGUGGGGAGCGAACAGG